rnacentral:tRNA from 1 species
GCCUGGGUGGCUCAGUCGGUUAAGCGUCCGACUUCGGCUCAGUCAUGAUCUCACGGCUUGUGGGUUCAAGUCCUGCGCCAGGCU